UUACGGCCACAUCACGUUGCAACACUAGUUCCCGUACGAUCACCGAAGUUAAGCAACGUCGAAGUUAAGCAACGUUAGAAACUAGAUGGGUGACCACUUGGGAAUUCCAGGUGCUGUAAG